rnacentral:misc_RNA from 1 species
AUUAAUUAUUUUUUGAAUUUGGAUAAAGGGUUUUUGAUAAUUGGGUUUAGUUUAGGUGUGUCAAGUUGAGUUUGUGAUUGGAGCUGAACAAUUUAUAUAUUGAGAGUGGAAGUUUCACGAUUUUAUAUAUUUAAAGAGAACUUAAACUUGAAAAACAGAGACCUGCAAAUUGGGCAUUGUGGUUUAUCAUUUAAGUAUUUAUAAAGUUUGGUCCUUUCUACAUGUUGCUCCUUAUGAAUCCUUUGAUUCUUAGAUUAAGUAAAGUUGGCAUUUAAUUGGUUAAUGAACUGAAAGAAAAAAUAAAAAAAAAAAUCUAAUCAAAGGGCCAAGAGGGUGUGUUAUUGACUAAAAAGUGAAAAUUGAGAAACAUUUUGUGCCCAUCUAAAGAAGCCCCCAGGUGCAUUAAGGAUAAUGUAUUGCAGAAAAUCCUUUGGUGUAGGAUACUGAUAGACGUAUCAUGAUCAUGAUAAAAUGAUAGAGAGAUUGCUUGCUGAAUUUUUCUUUUUUUAGGUGUUGUGGGAGGUAUGAUGACUCAAGGUUUUUAGCUCAAGGCUUGAUGGCCAACUAUUUGUUCUCAUGAUGACCUUAUAAUUAAAAUAACUGAGCAUAAUCAAAAUGGGGAAGGAAGAAUGAAACAGAUUGAAAGAAGGUAGUGUAAUGAAACAGAUUGGUUUGCCAACACUUGCCCUUUAAUUUUCUUGUAAACUGUCUGACAGUGUGGGACUUGUUCCCACAAGCCA